ACAAGUCGUGGAUUCUGCGGCUUAAUUUGAUUUAACACGGGAAAACUUACGCAGGCAAAAAGUUAAAAGGAUUGACAGCUUGAUAGCACUUUCUUGAUAUGACAGCGAGUGGUGCAUGGCCGUUCUUAGUUGGUGGAGUGAUUUGUCAGGUUAAUUCCCUAAACGAACGAGAUCUUCGCUUGCUAACUAGUCGUCGUUAAAAUCUAGCGAUUGACUUCUUAGAAGGACUACGGUUCCCAAAACCGUGGAAGUUGGAGGCAAUAACAGGUCCGUGAUGCCCUCAGAUGUUUGCGGCCGCACGCGUAAUACCAUGACUGGCACAAUAAGUUCCUAAUCCGAAAAGGAUUCGGGAAAUCUUCAUAAUGCCAGUCGUGCUUGGGAUAGAACCUUGCAAUUAUGGUUCUUGAACGAGGAAUGACUAGUAAGCUGAAGUCACUAACCUCAGCUGAUUACUGUCCCUAUCUUUGUACAC
rnacentral:rRNA from 1 species